rnacentral:lncRNA from 1 species
UUCGAACAAAUGUUGCUGCAAACAUGGUCCCAGGAACAUAUCUUGGUGUUGCUGCCCAGAAAAGGAGUUUGACCAGAUAAAAAUAAAUGGUGAAGUCGAAGAAGAAACACUUAUUAAAAAAAUGAACAAAUUAAGCAUUGCUGACGGACGGAAUGUUGAGGUGAAUAUGGUGGAAGUGUCUCAGAGAAACCAGGCAGAAGUGG